UACGGGGGGGGCAAGCGUUGUUCGGAAUUACUGGGCGUAAAGGGUUUGUAGGUGGCUUGUUAAGUCAGACGUGAAAUCCCUCAGCUUAACUGGGGAACUGCGUCUGAUACUGGCGAGCUUGAGUGCAGGAGAGGAACGCGGAAUUCCAGGUGUAGCGGUAAAAUGCGUAGAUAUCUGGAGGAACACCGGUGGCGAAGGCGGCGUUCUGGACUGCAACUGACACUGAGAAACGAAAGCCAGGGUAGCAAACGGG
rnacentral:rRNA from 1 species